GAUGAACGCUGGCGGCGUGCCUAAUACAUGCAAGUCGAGCGAACAGACGAGGAGCUUGCUCCUCUGACGUUAGCGGCGGACGGGUGAGUAACACGUGGAUAACCUACCUAUAAGACUGGGAUAACUUCGGGAAACCGGAGCUAAUACCGGAUAAUAUAUUGAACCGCAUGGUUCAAUAGUGAAAGACGGUUUUGCUGUCACUUAUAGAUGGAUCCGCGCCGCAUUAGCUAGUUGGUAAGGUAACGGCUUACCAAGGCAACGAUGCGUAGCCGACCUGAGAGGGUGAUCGGCCACACUGGAACUGAGACACGGUCCAGACUCCUACGGGAGGCAGCAGUAGGGAAUCUUCCGCAAUGGGCGAAAGCCUGACGGAGCAACGCCGCGUGAGUGAUGAAGGUCUUAGGAUCGUAAAACUCUGUUAUUAGGGAAGAACAAAUGUGUAAGUAACUAUGCACGUCUUGACGGUACCUAAUCAGAAAGCCACGGCUAACUACG
rnacentral:rRNA from 1 species